rnacentral:rRNA from 1 species
UACGUAGGGACCGAGCGUUGUCCGGAAUCAUUGGGCGUAAAGAGCGUGUAGGCGGCCACUUAAGUCCUGCGUGAAAUCUUGCGGCUCAACCGCAAGCGGUCGUGGGAAACUGGGUGGCUAGAGUGCGGGAGAGGAGAGUGGAAUUCCUGGUGUAGCGGUGGAAUGCGCAGAUAUCAGGAAGAACACCCGUGGCGAAGGCGGCUCACUGGACCAUAACUGACGCUGAUGCACGAAAGCUAGGGGAGCAAACAGG